AUCUGCUUGACUCCUUUAAUGCCAAGUAGGAAGUCGUCAAAUGUGGAUAUUGGCAAGCUUCUUAUAUGGCAUUCAGGGAGCCAGGCAGAG
rnacentral:pre_miRNA from 1 species